ensembl:misc_RNA Metazoa_SRP Metazoan signal recognition particle RNA
ACUGGGCACGGUGGCAUGUACCUGUAGUCCCAGCUACUCGGGAGGCUGAGGCAGGAGGAGUGCUUGAGUCCAGGAGUCCUGGGCUGCAGCACAUGAUGCCAAUUGUGUGUCUGCCCUAAGUUCGGCAUCAAUAUGGCAACCUCCCAGGAGCAGGGAGCCACCAGGUUGCCUAAGCAGGGGUGAACCAGCCCGUCAGAAACAGAGCAGGUAAAAACUCCAGUGUUGCUCAGUAGUAGUGGGAUCGCACCUGUGAAUAGCCACUGCACUACAGCCUGGGCAACAUAGUGAGACCUGUCUCUU